AGUACAAAGCAGUUGAGGGUAUCAGCAUCUCAUAAGCUCUGCACCUUCUAUGAUGAUUCAGGUCUCAACUUGGUCUGCUUUUUAGCAAGGACAAUUUUUCCACACACAGCCUAGAUCGGCACAUGUCGACAGGAGCAGAUCCACCCGGGACUCCACUUCAAAACGUGACUCCCCCUUGAGGAGACAGUCGUCCAGGUUGAACCGCAGGAAGCGAUUUGGCCUUGUCCUUAGCCGGAGGGAUGUAGAGGCCCAAGGUCUGCAAAGUGGUGCGGGAAUCCUUCAUCACAUGCAGCCUGAUGUCUGUCUGGUCCGCAAAGAGUGCCUUGCCAUUGAACAGGAGGUCCUGCAUCAGAGAUUGGGCCUCCGUCAACAGCCCGGACAACAGGAGCCACGACACCCUGCACAUGGCGAUCGCGGAAGCCAUCGAGCGGGCCGCCGUGUCAGCAGCAUCAGACACUGCUUGCAGGGCCACUUUAGCCGCCGCCAACCCCUCUUCCACCAGAACCUUGAAGUCCUUCCUGUCCCGGUCCAGGAGGAGGGGCUCAAAUUUAGGCAGAGACUCCCACAGGUUGAAGUUGUACCUGCUCAGUAAGGCCUCGU